GAGCUCCAGUCUUCAUAAUAGCCUGAAGCACAAAAUUCCUUGUCAAUAUCAGACAAUGUGACCGUAGAGUUCACAUGAACUUCACUCAAAAUCUCCCCAAAUUCGUUGCCUUUUGUGUUAUCUAAUACUGAUAUAAAAGGAUGAUUCAAUAGCAUUUAAACAGUGAAUCUGAAAGUAGGGUUCUUCACUAGACAUCGUUUCAAGAAAUCCGUCCCAUCCUUCGAAA
rnacentral:misc_RNA from 1 species